rnacentral:rRNA from 1 species
AACGAACGCUGGCGGCAUGCUUAACACAUGCAAGUCGAACGGGACCUCCCGGUCUUGUGGCGCAACGGUGCGUACCGAGUGGGAACCUGCCCUUAGGUUCGCAAUCACUCCCCGAAAGGGGUGUUAAUACAGGUUAAUGUCUUCGGACAUAAGAUUUCUCGCUUUUGGAUGGGGCCGGGUUGGUUUCGCUGGUUGGUAGGGUAAAAGCCUGCCAAGGCGAUGUUCCAUAGCUGGUCUGGGAGGAGGAUCAACCACACUGGGACUGAGACACGGCCCAGACUCGUAGGGGUGGCAGCAGUGGGUAAUAUUGGGCAAGGGGCGAAAGCCUGAUCCAGCAAUGCCGCGUGAGUGGUGAAGGCCUUAGUGUUCUAAAGCUCUUUUACCCGGGAUGAUAAUGACAGUACCGGGAGAAUAAGCACCGGCUAACUCCGUG